rnacentral:rRNA from 1 species
ACGAUGAAUCUUCUAGCUUGCUAGAAGUGGAUUAGUGGCGCACGGGUGAGUAAUGCAUAGGUUAUGUGCCCUUUAGUCUGGGAUAGCCACUGGAAACGGUGAUUAAUACUGGAUACUCCCUACGGGGGAAAGUUUUUCGCUAAAGGAUCAGCCUAUGUCCUAUCAGCUUGUUGGUGAGGUAAUGGCUCACCAAGGCUAUGACGGGUAUCCGGCCUGAGAGGGUGAUCGGACACACUGGAACUGAGACACGGUCCAGACUCCUACGGGAGGCAGCAGUAGGGAAUAUUGCUCAAUGGGGGAAACCCUGAAGCAGCAACGCCGCGUGGAGGAUGAAGGUUUUAGGAUUGUAAACUCCUUUUGUUAGAGAAGAUUAUGACGGUAUCUAACGAAUAAGCACCGGCUAACUCCGUGCCAGCAGCCGCGGUAAUACGGAGGGUGCAAGCGUUACUCGGAAUCACUGGGCGUAAAGAGUGCGUAGGCGGGGUAAUAAGUCAGAUGUGAAAUCCUGUAGCUUAACUACAGAACUGCAUUUGAAACUGUUACUCUGGAGUGUGGGAGAGGUAGGUGGAAUUCUUGGUGUAGGGGUAAAAUCCGUAGAGAUCAAGAGGAAUACUCAUUGCGAAGGCGACCUGCUGGAACAUUACUGACGCUGAUGCACGAAAGCGUGGGGAGCAAACAGGAUUAGAUACCCUGGUAGUCCACGCCCUAAACGAUGGAUGCUAGUUGUUGCCUUGCUUGUCAGGGCAGUAAUGCAGCUAACGCAUUAAGCAUCCCGCCUGGGGAGUACGGUCGCAAGAUUAAAACUCAAAGGAAUAGACGGGGACCCGCACAAGCGGUGGAGCAUGUGGUUUAAUUCG